rnacentral:rRNA from 1 species
GACGAACGCUGGCGGCGUGCCUAAUACAUGCAAGUCGAACGCUUCUUUCCUCCCGAGUGCUUGCACUCAAUUGGAAAGAGGAGUGGCGGACGGGUGAGUAACACGUGGGUAACCUACCCAUCAGAGGGGGAUAACACUUGGAAACAGGUGCUAAUACCGCAUUACAGUUUAUGCCGCAUGGCAUAAGAGUGAAAGGCGCUUUCGGGUGUCGCUGAUGGAUGGACCCGCGGUGCAUUAGCUAGUUGGUGAGGUAACGGCUCACCAAGGCCACGAUGAAUAGCCGACCUGAGAGGGUGAUCGGCCACACUGGGACUGAGACACGGCCCAGACUCCUACGGGAGGCAGCAGUAGGGAAUCUUCGGCAAUGGACGGAAGUCUGACCGAGCAACGCCGCGUGAGUGAAGAAGGUUUUCGGAUCGUAAAACUCUGUUGUUAGAGAAGAACAAGGACGUUAGUAACUGAACGUCCCCUGACGGUAUCUAACCAGAAAGCCACGGCUAACUACGUGCCAGCAGCCGCAGUAA